rnacentral:rRNA from 1 species
UACGUAGGGCGCAAGCGUUGUCCGGAAUUAUUGGGCGUAAAGAGCUCGUAGGCGGCCUGUUGCGUCCGCUGUGAAAUCCCGGGGCUUAACCCCGGGCGUGCAGUGGAUACGGGCAGGCUGGAGGCAGGCAGGGGAGAACGGAAUUCCCGGUGUAGCGGUGAAAUGCGCAGAUAUCGGGAAGAACACCCGUGGCGAAGGCGGCUCUCUGGGACGGUACUGACGCUGAGACGCGAAAGCGUGGGGAGCGAACAGG